GGUAAGAUGGCCGAGAUAGGUGGCAGGUUGUAGCCCUGUUCACAGAGCAAGUGCUCUUCUUAUCA
rnacentral:tRNA from 1 species